rnacentral:rRNA from 1 species
UACAGGGGGUGCAAACGUUGCUCGGAAUCAUUGGGCGUAAAGAGCGUGUAGGCGGCCAGAUAAGUCCGCUGUGAAAACUCGAGGCUCAACUUCGAGCUGUCGGCGGAAACUAUCUGGCUAGAGUCCGGAAGAGGAGAGUGGAAUUCCUGGUGUAGCGGUGAAAUGCGCAGAUAUCAGGAAGAACACCCGUGGCGAAGGCGGCUCUCUGGGACGGUACUGACGCUGAGACGCGAAAGCGUGGGGAGCGAACAGGAUUA